AUUGAACGCUGGCGGCAUGCCUUACACAUGCAAGUCGAACGGCAGCACGGGAGCAAUCCUGGUGGCGAGUGGCGAACGGGUGAGUAAUAUAUCGGAACGUGCCCAGUCGUGGGGAUAACGUAGCGAAAGCUACGCUAAUACCGCAUACGAUCUAUGGAUGAAAGCGGGGGAUCGCAAGACCUCGCGCGAUUGGAGCGGCCGAUAUCAGAUUAGGUAGUUGGUGAGGUAAAGGCUCACCAAGCCGACGAUCUGUAGCUGGUCUGAGAGGACGACCAGCCACACUGGGACUGAGACACGGCCAGACUCCUACGGAGGCAGCAGUGGGGAAUUUUGGACAAUGGGCGCAAGCCUGAUCCAGCAAUG
rnacentral:rRNA from 1 species